AAAGGAAUUGACGGGGACCCGCACAAGUAGCGGAGCAUGUGGUUUAAUUCGUGGCAACGCGUAGAACCUUACCAGGUCUUGACAUCCCUGUGACGUCCCCCUAAUAGGGGAUUCUCUUCGGAGCACAGGUGACAGGUGGUGCAUGGUUGUCGUCAGCUCGUGUCGUGAGAUGUUGGGUUAAGUCCCGCAACGAGCGCAACCCUUGUGUUUAGUUGUUAACAGGUUAAGCUGAACCCUCUAGACAGACUGCCGUGGAUAACGCGGAGGAAGGUGGGGAUGAGGUCAAAUCAUCAUGCCCCUUACGAUCUGGGCUACACACGUGCUACAAUGGCCGGUACAACGGGCAGCAAAAGAGUGAUCUGGAGCGAAACCUUAAAAGCCGGUCCCAGUUCGGAUUGCAGGCUGCAACUCGCCUGCAUGAAGUCGGAGUUACUAGUAAUCGUGGAUCAUAAUGUCGCGGUGAAUGCGUUCUCGGGUCUUGUACACACCGCCCGU
rnacentral:rRNA from 1 species